rnacentral:misc_RNA from 1 species
GGGAUAUUGGUGCCGGUGAAUUUGCCGGCUCCGGUGAUGCAGAGGUUCGAGGCGGAGAUAGAGCAGAUGCUCACUACUGUGAAAGAAGAAGAGAUCUGCAUCACCACCUCCGUCGUCACCAAGAUGGAGAUCAAGGUGUAGCAAAACACCAUGCAAUGAUGAUUGAGUGGAUUCCUAGUUUGAUUGGGUUAAGUUUGUUGUAAUAAAAGGUUAAGUUGGAUUUUCUGUGCUGGAGUCGAUGGGCG